rnacentral:sRNA from 1 species
GAUGGCGGAAGUGGCACUGUUGCCAGGCAGCCGUUGCCUGGCGUCGCGGGGCGUGCUCUGCGCUGGGCGCGCGGAGGCCAAGGCGGGAAGCUCGAGCGGCGGCGCCAUGGCCCGAGGUAGCGCGCGGCGGGCGGGGGUCCCGGGUUCCGGGAUCCAGGGUCGGCGGCCGGAGCGCUCAGGGCCCCGCCUAGGCCCUGAGGCCAGAGCCCCCGCUCAGGCAGGGUCCCGUCUGCCGGGCUCCCACCCUCGGGCUUCCGGAGCUUGGCUUCCCUCGGGCGCCCGUGCUCGUCCCGCCAGCCUGGCUGGCGUGGGCGUCGCCGGGGAAGGCGUGGAGAGCCCCGGCUCCUGCCUGCUCCCCGAAGCCCGGCCCAGCCCCGCAGUGGCCCCGGCUCGCGUGGCCGAGUCCCCUGACGCCCGGCGCCCGCUCCCCGCAGCGUGGCAGCACCCGUUCCUCAGCGUCUUCAGACACUUCCGGGUGGACGAGUGGAAGCGCUCCGCCAAGCAGGGGGACGUGGCCGUGGUCACGGACAAGACCCUGAAGGGCGCCGUGUAUCGCAUUCGGGGCUCAGUCUCUGCCGCCAACUACAUCCAGCUCCCUGGGAGCAGCACCCAGUCCCUGGGGCUGACGGGACGAUACCUGUACGUGCUCUUUCGGCCCCUGCCCGGCAAGCACUUCGUCAUCCACUUGGAUGUGUCCACCAAGGACAACCAAGUCAUCCGUGUGUCUUUCUCCAACCUCUUCAAGGAGUUUAAGUCUACGGCCACGUGGCUCCAGUUUCCCUUGGUCCUGGAGACCAGGACACCUCAGAGAGAUCUGGUGGGUUUGGCCCCCUCCAGAGCCCGCUGGACCUGCCUGCAGCUCGACCUGCAGGACAUUCUCCUGGUCUACCUGAACCGGUGCUACGGCCAUCUCAAGAGCAUCAGGCUGUGCGCCAGCCUGCUGGUCAGGAACCUGUACACCAGCGACCUGUGCUUUGAGCCUGCCAUCUCUGGGGCCCAGUGGGCAAAGCUGCCCGUGACUCCUAUGCCUCGGGAAAUGGCAUUCCCUGUGCCCAAGGGAGAGAGCUGGCAUGACCGCUACGUCCACGUCCGGUUUCCAAGUGACAGCUUGAAAGUGUCUUCCAAGCUGAUUGAGAACAGCUGUUCCCCUCCUGAGGCAGUCCUCCUGGGGCCGGGGCCACAGCCUCUCCCUUGCCCGGUGGCCUCCAGCAAACCUGUGCGGUUCAGUGUGUCUCCAGUGGUCCAGACGCCCAGCCCCACAGCCGUGAGUACCCCUUCGCCCUAUGAGAUGGGGUUGGGGCGUGAUGGCCCAGGGUGCUGAUGGGCACUUGUCCCCCAACAGUCUGGCUGGGCCCCCUUGGCACCCAGGCCCUUCCUGGAGGUCAGCCUGUCCCAAGAGCGCUCAGACGCCUCCAACGUGGAUGGCCCCGGUUUCCAUAGCCUUGAGCCCUGGGCCCACGUGGAGGCCUCUGACGUCCACACGGCUGCUGCUGGCACCCAUGUGUUGACUCACGAGUCGGCUGAGGUGCCUGUGGUCCGCACCGGCUCCUGCGAGGGCUUCCUCCCAGACCCGGUCCUGAGGCUCAAGGGCGUCAUCGGCUUUGGGGGCCACAGCACCAGACAGGCCCUGUGGACCCCGGACGGGGCAGCUGUCGUGUACCCCUGCCAUGCGGUCAUUGUCGUCCUGCUUGUGGACACAGGGGAGCAGCGCUUCUUCCUCGGCCACACAGACAAGGUGGGUGCUGCCCGGGCCCGGGGCGGCUCACACCUGCAGCCCCUGCACCCUCCCUCACCCUUCUGCCUCCUAGGUCUCCGCCCUGGCGCUGGAUGGCAGCAGCUCACUAUUGGCCUCGGCCCAGGCAAGGGCCCCCAGUGUGAUGCGGCUCUGGAACUUCCAGACCGGGCAGUGCCUGUGCCUGUUCCGGAGCCCAGUGCACGUUGUCUGCUCUCUCAGGUGAGCACAGGUGUGCCCCAUGCAGGGGGUGGGGGUCAGCCCAGGCGACACUGACAACCUCCUCCCUGUUCACAGCUUCUCUGACAGCGGGGCCCUUCUCUGCGGGGUUGGCAAGGACCACCACGGGAGGACGGUAACAGGGCCCUGGCCGGGGGUUGGGGUGGGGCCGUCCUGAUGCAGGCAGACAGCUGGAAGGGUCUUGGUUUUCUGAGACUCCACCUUCAUGUGAUGCUGGGUCCCUGCUCUGUGUCCUCCCUGUCGUGGGGCUCUGUGCACUCCAGUGUGCAUGCCGCCCCCGUGCCCUGCAUAGAAACCACCACCAGCAGCUCACAUUUCAUGUCUUGGCUUUUCGGCCAUCGGAGUCGGUUUAAGUCAGCAUUUACACACCUCGCCUCGUUCUCUCUGCUGGUGAUGCGGUUGAGAGAUUUUCACAUGGCAGAGCCCCUGCAGCUGACCCACGCUUGGGCGUCAAUGGCACCUCUACACAGCCGAAGCACCCGGCGUCUUGGUGGGGGCACCUUUUUAAACAUUUUUUUUUUUUUUGAGGGAGGGCCUUGUUCUGUCACCUAGGCUGGAAUGCAGUGGUGCAAUCAUAGCUCACUGCAGCCUCGACCCUCUCCCUGACCUCCCUGCCAGCUGGACUCAAGCCAUCCUCCUGCCUCGGCUUCCCAGAUCGCUGGGCCACAGGCGUGUGCCACCGCACCUGGCUAACUUUUUUUUUUUUUUUUUUUUUUUGAGACAGCAUCUCGCUCUGUCACCCAGGAUGGAGGGCAGUGGCACGAUCUUGGCUCACUGCAAGCUCCGCCUCCCGGGUUCACACCAUUCUCCUGCCUCAGCCUCCCCAGUAGCUGGGACUACAGGCGCCUGCCAACACGCCUGGCUAAUUUUUUUUUUUUUCUAUUUUUAGUAGAGAUAGGGUUUCACCGUGUUACCCAAGAUGGUCUCACGUUUUGUUUUUUUAACUUUUUGUAGAGAUAGGGUUUCAUUACAUUCCUCAGGCUGGUCUCAAACUCCAGGGCUCAAGCAGUCCUCCCACCUCAGCCUCCCAAAGUGCUGGGAUCACAGGCGUGAGCCACUGUGCCCAGCCACGAGCUGCUUUUUAUCCACCUUCUGGGCUUGUGGGUGGGUUUGUACUUCUCUGCGAAUGGGUUGCAGCGCUCCGCAUCACGGGUCUCUGUAGAAGUCCCGAAGCUUCAGGAUGAGAAGAUGGAGGGGCUUGUUUCCUUCCACAUUCCGCGGCCGCACACUCAGGCUGGUCUCCGCGUGAGAAAAGCCAGCUCCGGGUGGGGCUCAGCUGGGCCUUGCAGAAUCAAGGCGGCACUGACUGGCCCUGCCACGCAGGCUCAGCCUGGGCUUGUUGCAGAUGGUGGUGGCCUGGGGCACUGGCCAGGUGGGCCUCGGUGGCGAGGUGGUCGUUCUGGCAAAGGCGCACACUGACUUUGACGUCCAGGCCUUCCGGGUCACCUUUUUUGAUGAAACCAGGAUGGCGUCGUGUGGGCAGGGCAGCGUGCGGCUCUGGCGGCUGCGUGGCGGGGCGCUGCGUUCCUGCCCUGUGGACUUAGGGGAGCACCACACACUGCAGUUCACCGACCUCGCCUUCAAGCAGGCCCAGGACGGCUGCCUGGAGCCGUUGGCUGCCAUGCUCUUCGUGUGCAGCCGCAGCGGCCACAUCUUGGAGAUUGACUGUCAGCGCAUGGUCGUGCGGCAUGCCCGCCGCCUGCUCCCCACACGGACUCCGGGCGGCCCCCACCCGCAGAAGCAGACCUUCAGCUCAGGUAAGAGGGCGCCCGCCACGUGGCGAGGGUGGCAGGGACACCGAGGCACUGACGCCUCCCCGCCCCCAGGCCCCGGCAUUGCCAUCAGCAGCCUCAGCAUCUCCCCGGCCAUGUGUGCUGUGGGCUCUGAGGACGGCUUCCUGCGGCUCUGGCCCCUGGACUUCUCCUCGGUGCUCCUGGAGGCAGGUGAUGCUGUGGGCACGCUCUCCCAACUCUGGGAGAGCCUCGCCUGGAUGCUGGGGCGGGGAAGGCCCAGUACCCGGGACUUUGCUGUCAGCCGCCCUGUCUCCUGGCUGCACAGGGAGCCACGGGGCCAAGUGGCGUAUCCUGAGCCCUGGGGUGGCUGAUGCCAGGGCGGCCCGCAGGGCAGCCUCACGGAAGGGCCCGGUGGGAUGUGGGUAGUGUGCGAAGCCCCUCAGCCUGGGUCCCGCCUAGCUUAGGAGUGGUGGCCUCGAGGGAGCUGCAUCUUGCAGCCACGUGGAGUCUGGGACUUUGAGCAGCAGGAAGUGCAUUUGCUGGGGUCUCGGGGACCCGAAGCCUGAGCAUGCGGCUCACCCCGGGGUGGCCCUGGAGGCCCCUGACCCCACCCCACCCACAGAGCACGAGGGCCCCGUCAGCUCAGUCUGUGUCAGCCCCGAUGGCCUCCGUGUGCUGUCUGCCACCUCCUCGGGCCACCUGGGCUUCCUGGACACGCUGUCCCGGGUGUACCACAUGCUGGCUCGCUCCCACACCGCCCCGGUGCUGGCCCUCGCCAUGGAGCAGAGGCGGGGACAGCUAGCCACCGUGUCCCAGGACCGCACCGUCCGCAUCUGGGACCUGGCCACCCUGCAGCAGCUAUACGACUUCACAUCAUCAGAGGAGGCCCCGUGCGCUGUCACCUUCCACCCCACAAGGCCAACCUUUUUCUGCGGCUUUAGUAGUGGGGCCGUGCGCUCCUUCAGCUUGGAGGCCGCUGAGGUCCCGGUGGAACACACGUGCCACCGAGGAGCCAUCACCGGCCUGACCGCCACCCCUGACGGCCGCCUGCUCUUCAGCUCCUGCUCUGAGGGCUCCCUGGCCCAGUACAGCUGUGCGGACCCCCACUGGCAUGUCCUCCGAGUGGCAGCGGACAUGGUAUGCCCAGAUGCCCCCGCGAGCCCCAGCGCUCUGGCAGUCAGCAGGGAUGGCCACUUGCUGGCCUUCGUGGGACCCUCCAGGUGCACAGUGACAGUCACGGACUCGGCCUCCCUUGAUGAGCUGCUGCGAGUUGACAUCGGCACUCUGGACCUGGCCAGCAGCCGCCUGGACUCAGCCAUGGCUGUGUGCUUUGGCCCUGCAGCUCUGGGCCACCUGCUGGUGUCCACCUCGUCCAACAGAGUCGUGGUGCUGGAUGCUGUGUCGGGCCGCAUCAUCCGGGAGCUGCCCGGUGUCCACCCUGAGCCCUGUCCCUCCUUGACGCUCAGUGAGGACGCCCGCUUCCUGCUGAUUGCCGCCGGCCGGACCAUCAAGGUGUGGGACUACACGACACAGGCCAGCCCAGGCCCCCAGGUGUACAUCGGCCACUCGGAACCCGUGCAGGCUGUGGCUUUCUCUCCUGACCAGCAGCAGGUCCUCAGCGCAGGGGACGCCGUCUUCCUCUGGGAUGUCCUGGCCACUACUGAGAGGCAAGUGCCUACUCUCAGCUUUGUCUGCCUAGGCCCCCCAGGCCCUCCUGAAACCCUCUCUCCUCCCUCUCCAGCAACCAAAGCUUCCCCGUGGCCCCCCAAGCCUGUGAGGCAGGCUCGGGCAUAGGACCACUGGAGGACGCAUCGUCCAGGGCCAGCGAGCUCCCCCAGCAGCAGGUCCCCAAGCCAUCUCAGGCAUCUCUACCACGGCUGGGCAUCUGUGCCAGGCCUCCCGAAGGUGGCGAUGGUGUCAGGGACACCAGGAAUUCGGGGGCCCCACGCACCACCUGCCUGGCUUCCUACAAGGCCUUCACGCCUGCCAGGGUCAGCUGCAGCCCCCACUCUGCCAAGGGCACUUGCCUGCCUCCCGCCAGCGGUGGGUGGCUGCGUCUGAAGGCUGUCGUUGGCUACAGUGGGAAUGGGCGGGCCAACAUGGUCUGGAGGCCGGACACAGGCUUCUUUGCCUACACCUGCGGCCG